AUGAAGACACUGGUCUCCAAGCUGUGCUCCCCGGCCGGCCAAGAACCAGGCACCCCCACCCCGAGGACAGCAGCAGAGGCUGGGCUGAGCGCCCAGGCCCUCAAGGAGAUGGCCGCAGGCACCAAGAGCAUCGCCCUCAUCGCAGCCACCCGUCGCUCCAGGGCACAGGACCCUGAGGGCAGCAGUGGCCGCUCCUCCCUCCACCCUCCAGAGGAGGCGGCUCCAGACCCCAAGGACCCCAAGCCCAGCAUCACCCCAGAGACGAGCCUGGCCGAUAGGAAGUGGCUGCAAGCCAGCCCGGGCAGGGCCCGCUCUGCAGAGAGGAAGGCCAGGGGGAAACCGUCGCCCCCUGUUACGAGGAGAGUCCAGCCGGCAACAGAAAAACUUCAGCCACCCUCCACGGAUCACAUAGCUGAGAGCCAGCCGCCCCCUGCACUCCCUCAGCUGUCAAAGUCUCCAGGAAAGAGCUUUCUCCCUGCUGUCCCUUCAGCCUCUAAGAUGAAACCCAGCCUCAGUUUUCAUGCAGAUGAAAACACACUGCACGUGCCGGAGGUCAGCUUCAGCUUUCCCAGCGCCACCUGGCAGGGCAGCCCAGGCCCGAGCAGGGCGCUCCUCCUGCCCCGGGACAUCCGAGGUCAGUGCCUACCUCUCCCCGACACACAUGCUCUUGUCUGUCAGGGCGUGAGUACCUCAGACAUGACCACUCGUCACACACCCUGUCGCUGGUGGGGCUGUGACAUCACUGCGCCUGAACUUCAGGUCUGACCUAAGCGGUCAACACACAGCACUGAACUGUGAGGGCGGGGACACGAGGACGUUUAUACCUAAGACGUGAGCGCUCACCUCAUCCCCUCACUAAAC
rnacentral:lncRNA from 1 species